AAACUUUUCAUCUCCAGCUGACGAGAGUAAGACACAGGACCAGUCCACGCCACCAUCCUGACACCUCAACACAUUAGGAAUUCUGCUGGACAAACCUACUGUGAAUCAAAGGAGUGAUUCCCCAAAAAAACUCAAGCAGCUUCAUCAAGCAAAGGAGGAGGCCUAUAGAAGUGGGGACAGAAUCCUGUACAACCAGGCCAGAAACACACUGACAAAUGAGAUCAGAGUAGCAAAGAGGAGCUACACUGAAAAGUUGAAAAACAGGUUUUCAACUAACGACUCAGUGUCAGUGUGGACAGGUCUGCAGGACAUCACCAACUACAGGAGACCAUACUCCCACACGGUAGUGAUCCAUCAACUGGCCGGUGACCUGAAUGUGUUUUACUGCAGGGACACAGCGUGCCAGCGGGUGUUGUCACAGCUUAAGUGUUAUGAGAGUGAAACAUGAUGGGAGAUGUUCAACUAACUUCAACAAUCUCUUCAUCUAAGCGAUCAACCUGUCUCUGAGACCCCAUUCCAACUAGGCUGCAUAAAGAGGCCAGUAGUGUGGCUGCCCCAGCAGCUUGACGACAGCAGGAAUACCGUAGUGCAGCCGCACAGCAUUCUGGGCCAGCUCUGCAUCCUGGUGACGGGAGGUGAGAUGACGCAGGGCACAGACCGCCGGCUCAGCAACAUCCUCCUUCUCCCCAGCACGAAGCACGGCGUGGAUCAACGCCUCCACACCACCGUACUGAGCCACCAGAGUCUGAGAGAUCACAGGUUGAAGAGAAUAGAAUAGAAUAGCUUAUCUGAAAUACAAGUGUGCAGUAAAGCUUCAUUCAGAAAUUCAUUUUUAGAGUAGAGAAGAGAGAAAACAACAAUAAAUAAUUGGCAUGUGUGUACACUGUGUGUGUAGGUGUGUGUGUGUCCAGGCUUGAAGCAAAGUGUAAAUUGAUUUUCCCCAGGAGUGCAGAGUUUAGAUUGUCUGAGGUGAAGACUAUACACAGAAACUGGAUGUUUUUUUUAUGAAUCCAAACCAGAAUAAACAAGACGUCAAAUCAUGAUCAGCUUUCAAAGCUCUGCAUGGCACUUAGAACCUCCAAUCCUACAGGAGUUUCUGUGAAUGUAAAUUAGGGUGUCUUUUUAUGCGCCAUUAAUGCAACAUGCAUAAAUAUGCAUUCAUAAAUUAGUUUAAAAACACAGUGAAACGAUUAUGUUAAUGAAGUCCAUGGGAGUCAAUGAGCGCUAAGGCUGCUUUCACCUAACCUUUUUGGUUUGGUUCAGACUAACUCAGGUGCAUUUGCCCCAUUUAGUGCAGGCUGGUCAAAAAACUGUCAUUUGAAUUUUGGUGUGGAUUAAACCAGUGGCCCUGUUGCAACUGAA